rnacentral:tRNA from 2 species
UUUCCGUCGACUUUAGAAAUCGUGAGGGUUCAAGUCCCUCUAUCCCCA